AUGUUUGCUGAUAGGGAUUAUGAAAGAAAGCCUAUUUUGCGGCUUAGUGCUGAUUCUCCAGUGGUGACAGUUCAGAAUUGGGUGGAGAGAGAUUAUUCAGUUGUUAAUGUUCAAUGCAAGGAUCGAAUGAAACUUUUGUUCGAUGUUGUUUGCACCUUGACAGACAUGGAAUAUGUUGUGUUUCAUGCCACAAUCAACACAGCUGGGGACAGAGCAUAUCUGGAAUUCUACAUUAAACACACUGAUGGAACCCCAAUUAGUUCAGAGCCGGAAAGGCAGCGGGUAAUUCAGUGUUUACAAGCUGCAGUUGAGAGAAGAGCAUCCGAGGUAAUUCUUUCAUUCCAAAGUCAUAUUUUUAGUUAUGCACUUGUUAGGGGUUUUCUUGCAAAUGUUAAAUGGGAAUUUUUUCUAUUUACAGGGUGUAAGGCUAGAGUUAUGCACUCCAGAUAGACAAGGCCUUUUAGCAGAUGUGACAAGAACUUUUAGAGAGAAUGGUCUUAAUGUGACAAGGGCUGAGAUAUCCACUUCAAGUGAGAUGGCUGUAAACGUAUUCUAUGUAACAGAUGCAAUUGGUAACCCUGCAGAUCCUAGGGUAAUUGACUCCGUUCGACAGAAAAUUGGAUUGAGUAAUUUGAAAGUUAAGGAAUUGCCCCCACUGGUAUACCAUCAAGAGGCGCAAAGGGAAGAGCAGGGGUUAGGAGUUGCUGGGACAGUGUUGCUAUCACUUGGGGACCUAGUGAGAAGGAAUCUGUACAACUUGGGAUUGAUCAGAUCAUAUUCUUAAAGUGGAACAUAAAAGGUAAUUUGGAUUAAGAAAGAGAUUUGUGAUAUUCUUUGCUUCAGGUUUGGGCUUGUGUUGUGUACAUACGGCAAAAGGUGGAAUUUGGUGAUAGUAGCAUUAGUAGUAGUUGGUUUGGUUGGUUGAAUAGAUAGAGACAGAUUGGGGGUUUGGUCCACCACCAUAUAAUAUACAUAUUAUAUAUUUGAAAGAUAGAUAUUGCUUGGUUUGAAGGAAAGAUCUGAAAUUGAAGAAGGAAAUACUGAUGAAUAGAAGAAAGUAAAGAUGGUGUGGGUGGAGGAUUGUGAUAAUUGAAUAUAAGCAUUGUGCUGGCAGAAACAGAAAAAAUUAGGUAGAUUUGAAAACAAUGCCUUCAUAUACGGCACACAGUUGUACAUAACGACCUCUUAAUAUAUUAGCUUUAAUGGUUGACUUGAUUAUUCUUUACGUCCUUCUCAUUCAAUUCCUCUGCCUCUCUCUCUCUCUCU
rnacentral:misc_RNA from 1 species